AAAAAAAAUUCAAAACUGAGUAUAGCCGUGCGGCUAUACUAUUUUUGUAUAUUAAAAAAUACCCCUAUGAGUAUAGCCGUGCGGCUGUACUAUUUUUAAUUAUAAAA
rnacentral:miRNA from 1 species